rfam:Schistosoma rodhaini strain Burundi genome assembly, scaffold: SROB_scaffold0003275
AUCCAACUGAUGAGUCACAGAUAGGACGAAACGCGCAUCCUAGAU